GGAAGGACUGUAGCUCAAUGGUGGAGCAUCUGCUUUGCGUGCAGAAGGCCUCAGGUACAAUCCCCAGCAUCUCCA